CAAAUACUAGCUAAAAAUAUCGCAUUAUAAUUACAAAUAAUAUCAAAUAGUCUGAUGCUUUUUCAGGUAUUUUCCCAAACACGUUUCCUUAUCAUUCUGUACGCUGAUAUUUUUCGACACAAACCUGUGAUAUUCCCUCCUUUCUUGUUCGUUCAUAGAUAUCGUAGAUUCGACCAAUGAAUUCAUCAGCUUUGAUAGUCCUAAGUAAAUUUAAAAGAAGACUGAAAUUUUGCAAUUAUACAGGUCCAAAUGUACAACAUACUAAAUGAUGGUGAAAUAAUAACAUUCAUUUAACACAUUCAUUUAACUUAAAAAGACGAAUUCAUCUUGACUCUUUAUAAUGGUUGAAAUAUUUCUUUAUUGCGGUUUUCANUACAUGUAUCUCAACGUCAAAUCAUAGAAGAUAGCCCUUUUCAUAGCUUUGCAGUUAACACUGACAGCUCCCGCAGCAAUGNUUGGCUUCUAAAUUAAUAAUCAGACCUUCAGUAUAUUACAGUGAUAAUUUUAAGGCGCAAGCUCAGGACGUGUAGUGAUCUUCCGAAUGAAAAUGGAUGAGUGCAAAUAUAACUCAACUAGAUGAUACAGAGCUAUAAACGUUACAGAAUUUUCUAUAGAUCUUAAACAUAUUUCCUAUCAAGCUUAGAUUUUAAAACGCUUUAGACCAAACCAUGUCUCGUACCAUAACAUGAAACGUUACAGUUCAAAAGAUAUAACAUAAUUUAUAGGACUCUUGUUGAUAGUAGUAUUUUUGUUACUGAAGGGAAUACCCUGCUUAAAUAAAGGUUUUCAUUCAUUCAUGAUUUGCAUAUCGGUUAUAUUGUAAGAAUUAAGAGCCCGUCAUGCGAUAUCUGUCUUGUUAAGAUUUCAUUUCACCCACGUCUCGUUCAUACAGAUGUUUUUAAAUGACUUCCAAGUGACUUGCAAGUACAAUUAUCUUCAGACACUGCUUUUUAAUGUCCGUGUUAGUAUAUAUUUUUGCACUGAAUUCGCAUUGAAUUUUUAAGGGCACGUGGGCACACGCCAUGACCCAUCUAAGAGUUUUACUUAUAGCUUUUGACUACCGACACUAAAAACGGAUGCGAGGGAGACUUUCUUGAAACCGGUUUUUCUAAAAGGAAAAAUUCACUAAUGGCCAUUGGGAUGUCACAUUUUGUAUAUAAAAAAUGAGGGCCACAAUUUUAUAAGUGUUUCACUUUUAGGUUUUUGGCAGCAGCGGAUGUCAUGCAAAAAUUUUUUUCUUUCACUUUUUCGGUUUGGGAUUGAAAUGAACUGUACCAAGACCACACCGUUUCUUUAAUCCCGUCUGAUUGGCUAUAUUAAUAAUUAUACUAUUUUUUAAUACUACUCACUUACCUUAAGACCUGUGUAUUUAAAGAUGAUAUUGACAAGGNUAGUUAUGUUAACGAAAAUUUCAAAAUCAUAUACAUUACUGACCCUNNUAAAGAUUCUUUCAAGAAUUCGUGGUNUUGGCUCACAUUAUAUACUAAAAUAUUUAAGUCUUCUUGCNCUUGCUUCACCUCAUCGAAGAGUUUCUUCGGAAAAGGAGUAGGGAANAGCAUAAAAGGCGCGUGAUCGAAAUUUCCCGGCGUCUUUUUUGACUGCAGUAAAGCGCCGUUCAUCAAGGCAUAGUCUUUGGAAUUUCUAACCAGAUUGCUCCGACACUCACGAUACCAUUUUUAAUACCAGUCUCUUAGUUCUGGUGCCGUCCCAGAUGACUGGAAGCUAGCAAUCAUUUUACCCGACUACGAAAAGGGCGACAAAGAUCUCAAGAUGAAAACUAUCGAUGUAACUACCAAUUUAACUCUUAUCGAUAGUUUCAAAGGUCCUAGAACGAUGCAUCAUUAGCCGACAUACAAGAUCAUGUACUGGCGUCAAACNAUACACAGCAGGGCUUCUUACCAAGCAGACUAACGCCGUUUAUUUAGACAUGUCAAAAGCCUUUGAUAAAGUGAAUAAAGCUGCCUUGAUCAGGAUCCUUUAUUUAUUGCUUCUAUUCUGUGUUAUUAAUACGAAUCAGGGCAUUUAUAUCUGAUUUGCUAUAUUGUUCGUUUUGUCGUUUCAGGUGAGGUAUAUUGUAACUCAAGCAGAACUNAAGUUAAUCACGAUGAAGUGAAAAUUUUAAAAGGGAGUAGUUAGCAUUGUUUCGGUAAUUGAUAGAUAACGAGGUUGAAAUCACAACAAAUAAGGGACCUUCGUCCAAAGUUGGAAAUAUCAAGCAAUCAUUGGACAAGGUUUAUCAAAAUAUAGGGAUUAGUUAGUGGCCAGCAAUCGAGCAAUUAUUUGCCGAUGAAUGCAGACACUAACGAAUCAAGAUAUCUCGCGAUAACCGAGUUCAGUAAUUGUUUUAUCUUUCAAAUCAUUUUCCCGUUUUCUUUUUGUGCUCUAGUGGUUCUUCAGUGUUAUCUAUCAGCCAUACCAAGUCACAGAUAAGCGAGCCAUGUUGGCAAAUGCAACGUUACUGCGCACGAGCAGACUAUUAUUUGCAGUAAAACGGCCGCCUUGCAUUGUAAUGCGCAAGUACUAUGUCCUUAUUGACUUAGUGGGAGGGCCAUACAUAUACGGGAAAAUAUGAGGCAAAACAUAAGUGCAGGAAGACUUGAAUCCACUUUUCGUAUAAAUGUAAACUAAAAACACGAAUUCCUGAAAGUAUCGCUACGAGCACCAGUAAAUACUCGUUUUGAAAGUUAUGUAGUGUUUAACUUUUAACAAACAUUUUAAACGAGUGUAGUUAUAACUAUAGUAGUCAAAUAUAAAGAAUACUGCUAAAUAUGACCAAUGAAAAUAAAUAAAUAAUAAUGUUACCGAAAGCGAAAUGGCUUUUUGCUUAUUCCAAACCCGCUUUGAAACCCUAUUUAUAUAUAANGUGACUUCGAGUUUCAGUUUCAAACAGAUCACAUCUAUCUAUGAGGCAUAGCUCACCCGACGCCACGCUCCAAAGUUGUUUUUGAUAUAAUGCUCGGAAAUUAUAGUUUGCUGUAUCUGUUGAGCAUGGUCAUCGUUUCUGGAGGUAACAUAUUUUUUUUAGACAGUUAUACGUUGUGUAAUAAACUUUUCUUCAUAGACAUAAAUCAGAGAUUGUUGUAAACUGUAGCCCCAUAAAAA
rnacentral:lncRNA from 1 species